rnacentral:rRNA from 1 species
GUUAAGAAUCUUGCGCAAUGGGCGAAAGCCUGACGCAGCGACGCCGCGUGGACGAUGAAGGCCUUCGGGUUGUAAAGUCCAAUAAGCAGGGAAGAAUAAGUGGAGUAAAACAUGCUUCAUGAUGACGGUACCUGUCUAAAGCCUCGGCUAACUACGUGCCAGCAGCCGCGGUAACACGUAUGAGGCGAGCGUUGUUCGGAUUUAUUGGGCGUAAAGCGCGUGUAGGCGGGGAAUUAAGUUAGGUGUGAAAUCCACUGGCUCAACCAGUGAAUUGCACUUAAUACUGAUUCUCUUGAGUUCGGGAGAGGAGAGCGGAAUUCUCGGUGUAGCGGUGAAAUGCGUAGAUAUCGAGAAGAACACCAGUGGCGAAGGCGGCUCUCUGGCCUAGAACUGACGCUGAGACGCGAAAGCGUGGGGAGCAAACGGGAUUAGAUACCCUGGUAGUCC